rnacentral:rRNA from 1 species
CAGGGAAUCUUGCGCAAUGGGCUAUUGGCCUGACGCAGCGACACCGCGUGGGGGAAGAAGGCCCUAGGGUUGUAAACCCCUUUUCUCGGGGAAGAGAGAGGACGGUACCCGUGGAAUAAGCCUCGGCUAACUACGUGCCAGCAGCCGCGGUAAUACGUAGGAGGCGAGCGUUGUCCGGAUUUACUGGGCGUAAAGGGCGAGUAGGCGGCUCACCAAGUCUCAUGUGAAAUCUCCCGGCUCAACUGGGAGGGGUCAUGGGAAACUGAUGGGCUUGAGGUCAGCAGAGGAAAGCGGAAUUCCCGGAGUAGCGGUGAUAUGCGUAGAUACCGGGAGGAACACCCGAGGCGAAGGCGGCUUUCUGGGCUGCACCUGACGCUGAGGCGCGAGAGCAUGGGGAGCGAACCGG